rnacentral:rRNA from 1 species
AACUGGAUGGCGGGUGCUAUACAUGCAGUCGACGAGUUCUGAUUAUUGAAAGGUGCUUGCAUCUUGAUUUAAUUUUGAACGAGUGGCGGACGGGUGAGUAACACGUGGGUAACCUGCCCUUAAGUGGGGGAUAACAUUUGGAAACAGAUGCUAAUACCGCAUAAAUCCAAGAACCGCAUGGUUCUUGGCUGAAAGAUGGCGUAAGCUAUCGCUUUUGGAUGGACCCGCGGCGUAUUAGCUAGUUGGUGAGGUAACGGCUCACCAAGGCAAUGAUACGUAGCCGAACUGAGAGGUUGAUCGGCCACAUUGGGACUGAGACACGGCCCAAACUCCUACGGGAGGCAGCAGUAGGGAAUCUUCCACAAUGGACGCAAGUCUGAUGGAGCAACGCCGCGUGAGUGAAGAAGGCUUUCGGGUCGUAAAACUCUGUUGUUGGAGAAGAAUGGUCGGCAGAGUAACUGUUGUCGGCGUGACGGUAUCCAACCAGAAAGCCACGGCUAACUACGUGCCAGCAGCCGCGGUAAUACGUAGGUGGCAAGCGUUAUCCGGAUUUAUUGGGCGUAAAGCGAGCGCAGGCGGUUUUUUAAGUCUGAUGUGAAAGCCCUCGGCUUAACCGAGGAAGUGCAUCGGAAACUGGGAAACUUGAGUGCAGAAGAGGACAGUGGAACUCCAUGUGUAGCGGUGAAAUGCGUAGAUAUAUGGAAGAACACCAGUGGCGAAGGCGGCUGUCUGGUCUGUAACUGACGCUGAGGCUCGAAAGCAUGGGUAGCGAACAGGAUUAGAUACCCUGGUAGUCCAUGCCGUAAACGAUGAAUGCUAGGUGUUGGAGGGUUUCCGCCCUUCAGUGCCGCAGCUAACGCAUUAAGCAUUCCGCCUGGGAGUACGACCGCAAGGUUGAAACUCAAAGGAAUUGACGGGGGCCCGCACAAGCGGUGGAGCAUGUGGUUUAAUUCGAAGCACGCGAAGAACCUUACCAGGUCUUGACAUCUUUUGAUCACCUGAGAGAUCAAGGUUUCUCU